CCUACGGGGGGCAGCAGUGGGGAAUAUUGGACAAUGGGGGCAACCCUGAUCCAGCCAUUCCGCGUGUGUGAAGAAGGCCCUCGGGUUGUAAAGCACUUUCAGUGAGGAAGAACGCCUGGUGGUUAAUACCCAUCAGGAAAGACAUCACUCACAGAAGAAGCACCGGCUAACGCCGUGCCAGCAGCCGCGGUAAUACGGAGGGUGCGAGCGUUAAUCGGAAUUACUGGGCGUAAAGCGCGCGUAGGUGGCUUGAUAAGCCGGUUGUGAAAGCCCCGGGCUCAACCUGGGAACGGCAUCCGGAACUGUCCAGCUAGAGUGCAGGAGAGGAAGGUAGAAUUCCCGGUGUAGCGGUGAAAUGCGUAGAGAUCGGGAGGAAUACCAGUGGCGAAGGCGGCCUUCUGGACUGACACUGACACUGAGGUGCGAAAGCGUGGGUAGCAAACAGGAUUAGAUACCCCGGUAGUC
rnacentral:rRNA from 1 species